UACAAAAAAAAUAAUAAUUAAAAAAAAUACAAAAAUAUUUCGACAAAUUUGUCGGUCAAAACCCCCCAAUCCACCGGUAAAUCGAACAAAAGAAGAAAUCCACCCCUCCUGAAAAACAAAUCCACCGGUAAAAACCCUGAAAAAAUCACCUCCUAAUCCCACCAUUUUAUCGUCUCCUCGCCCCUCCAUCCACCCAUUCUCAGCCUUUCACUCUCAUUUUCGCUUCUCACCCAAAAAUACAGAGGAGUGAAAAACCCUCAAACCACCGCUAGAGAGAGGAAAGAGCAGCAGAGAAGGUCUUGGAAUUUGGGAUUUUUUCUCCGAGUGAUUAACGCUUUGGAAGGCGUUUUGCAAUUUGGGGUUUUUUCUCUGAGCGAUUAACGUUUUGGAGGGGGUUUGGAAUUUGGGGUUUUUUCUCUGAGUGAUUAACGCUUUGAAGGGGGUUUUGCAACUUUCUGUGAGAUGCAGCGGCAGAGGUAGCAGGUGGCGGACACAACACAGAGAAAUCCAACAAAGAAAAAUCCCACUGCUUGUAUCUAAAGACGAUUGCUUAUAACAAAUUUUCAUUUGCAAAGAUUUGGCCGAUGGCUGUCCAGUUUAAAUACGGCAGUUAAAUAUUGACCGGCAAGGCGAAUUUUGGAGUCGGCAAUUUGCAUGGCUCCCAAAGAUAAGGAAGCUGUAUGAAAAAUACUUGGAGUGCUCACCAGAGAACUGCUAUGCAUGGAGCAAGUUUGCUGAGUUGGAGAGAUCCUUCGCGGAAAUUGAACGAGCCAAAGCUCUUUUUGAGCUUGCAAUUGAUCAACCUGCGCUAAACAUGCCUAAGCUGUUGUGUAAGGCAUAUAUUGACUUUGAAACAUCUGAUGUUGAAUAUGAAAGACGAGAGGCUUUUGAACCGCACAAAACAUUUGAAGGUGUGGAUUAGUUAUGCCAAGUUCAAAGCAUCUGCUAUGGAUGAGGGCUUGCAGGAGUCAGACUUGCGUGGAAGUGAUUAUGAACAAAAGAGAAAAUGCCUUCAGCGCCAGAUAGUGUUGUUCUAGGAGCAAAGGAUUUGCUUAAGUGAUCACAUGGCAUCGAUUAUUUGCACAGCUGAAGCAAGAAAGGCAGGAUAGAGCAAGGUUUCAAGGCAAAAGUUAUGCUGAGGUGAUCCCGUCACUUAUAUGCAGUAUGUGUUAUGGUUUUAGUUUGUGAUCUUCUUGAAGGCUUCUGGAAUUCAUAAUUGGAAUGGCAUGUGGUGACGUCUUUGAGAACUUUGCAGUCUCUUUUUUCAAGCAUAAAGACAAAAGGACUUGGCAGGGAAUGAAAACACUUGCUGAACUAAGGAUGAAGAAAACCUUCCAAACAAGGAUUCACUUUACACGAUGAUACAAAACCAUAACAAAGUAACUGUUACUGAUGUUAAGAGACCCUAAUUUGAAGAUGUUAAAAAGAUUGUGCUACUUCUGGAGAGUUCAUGGCCUCUACCACUCUGGGGCAUGUGAGUCGGCUCCUUCAUAAACAGGCUUUUGUCACUCAUAAUUGGAAUGACAUGUGAGAGGUUUUGGAUAAUUUUGCAGUCUGUUUUACCAGCAUAAAGACAAAAGGUAACGUGCCUUGUGGCAUUGAUGGUCUAUUUCUGCAUUUUGGUAUGUGAAACUGUUUGUGUUCAACACCUUGCUGCCAGACUUUCUGAAUUUGUUCAGGUGUUGAAACUCUAUUGUUGCUCUCCAUUCUUCAGCUUUUUGGUGCUUAGGUUACACAUUAAACUAAAAUACAACCUUGUAAGAGUCCUAGGUUGUUCCAAAAAGAGUCCUAGAAUGUAAGAUGAUGAUUGCUAGGUUGCUAAAAAAAAAACUCACGUUUUCCUCCUUUUCCCCCAUACAUUGUAAAGCUAUUAAAUUUAUUACUCUAUUCUAUCUUUUUAGAUUAUGAUUUUUCAAUAUUUUCAUUCUGUUAGAUGCAUUAUUAAUUAAAUUACAUGUUACUUGGCAAUCUUAUUUUAUAGAACGAAUCUGCUCGUGUGGUAGACCCUGUGCUCUUGCGUGCUUGGACUCAGGUCGAGUUUGUUGUUUUUUACCAUCCUGUGGCAACAACAUUGCAACCACUAGAUAGGACUUGGCAGCAAUGAAAACACUUGCUGAUAUAAGGAUGGAAAAAACCUUCCAAUGCCAGUCAAUAAGGAUUCAGUUUACUUAUAACUCCUUUUCUUUCCUACUCCAACCUUAAGAAAGAAAUGGAAAUGGAUUAAUAAACAAAUUGAGGGGUACUUCUAAAUUCUAAUAAAGGAAGAUUGAUAACUUUUUAUGGGUGAUUUUAUAAUAUUUUUUGUUAUUUAUUGAAGUUUUAACUUUACUAUUUUAUGUUUGUGAUAAAUGUGAUAAAUGUAGACUAAUAGGAUAAAAAGAUAUUUAGUAUUAAUCACCUCUUUAAUAAGUUUUAAUCUGUCUUUUCGUUAAAAACUACUAGAAUUAUAUUUAGGUACUACUAUCCUUUAUAAUUAAUUCUCAUUUAUUAAUAAAAAUAGUCCUUAAUGGUAUAUAUCUUCUCACACUUUUAUCUAUAUAGUUUAAAUCAGGUAGUUUCUUUUCCUUUUUUUUUAAAUCAGGUCUUAUUUAUUAUUAAAAAAGUUAUUAAGUUAUCAUUAACAGCUUUUGUGUAUAAUAUAGACAUAGAUAACAUGAUUUUUUUCAUCAAAAUAUUGUUCAUUACUCUGCUUUGGAUCCAAUAUCAGAAUGGAGGUAAUCCUUUUAUCUUUUGGUGACUUUUUUAUUCAUUUUGUUAUUAAGGUGAGUAUGUUUCUUCUUCGCUCUACGCAAAACUCUUGUUUGCACUUUCUUAUUUGUUGUCUUUGCUUUUUGGGUGAUAGCUAACAUAAUUGAUUAUGUGUACAAGUUUCUGAAUGUUUGUGCCUUUAGCGUGUUUAUGAAGCACGGCAUUUCCUUUGAUGUUAAGUUAAGGUAUGUGAUACUUCUUGACACAUUACAGUUGGAAGUUAUAGGAGUCGGAUUCAACUCAUAUGUUAUUGUGUCUGGUGGAUUUUUGUGUAAGCUUUAUGGUAACUCUUUUUCGCCAGAACUGGGAUUUUUGUAUCCUUGUAUAGAUGUUAAAAAAGAUUGUGCUACUUUUGAGAGUGCAUACGCUAAAAUCUUUCAAUUGGUAGCCUAGAGAGUUCAUGGCCUCUACCGUUCUGAGCAGUUUGAGUUGGCUCCUUCAUGAAUAGGUUUCUGUAAUUCGUAAUUGGAUUGGCAUAUGGAGAGGUUUUGGAUAACUUUGUAGUCUCUUUUACCAGCAUUGCCUUGUGGCAUUGAUGGUCUAUUUCUGCGUUGUGGCAUGUGAAUUGUUUGUGUUCAACACCUUGCUGCCCAACUUUUUGAAUUUGUUCAAGUGUUGAAACUCUAUUGUUGCUCUCCAUUCUUCAGCUUUUUGGUGCAUGAGUUACACAUUUAACCAAAUAUAACCUUGUAAGAAUCCUAGGUUGUUCCAAAAAGAGUCCUAGGAUGCAAGAUGAUGAAUGCUAGGUUGUUCCAGAAAGUGUUAUGUUUUUACAAUAUGAUCUUCCAAUAUUUUCAUUCUGAUAGAUACAUUAUUAAUUAAAAUUACAUAUAUAUUUUUACCAAUCUGAUUUUAUAGAAUAAAUCUACUCGUGUGGUAGACAUUGUGCUCUUGUGUGCUUAUUAAUGGUCAAAGUUCCUCAUUUUACCACCUUGAGACAACAGCAUUGCAAACCCCUCGAUAGUGCAGGGACUGAAAACAAUUGUUCAAAGAAGGAGGGGAACAAAACCUUCCAGUCAACAAAGAUCACGUUACACGGUGAGAACAUCCUGUUGUCACUCUUUUUAUUCCUUCUCCAACCUUAAGAA